CGACCUGAGCCAAGUGCUAGUUGUCAUAUGGAGUUUUUUUUAGAUAUAUGUACCUAUAUACAUAUGUAUCUUUAUAAUUCCAUAACAUGAUGUCGUUAGAAAAAAAAUUUCGAAUCUCAAUAUACCUUGAAACCCGAAAACAUUCCCGUGUGAAAUUUGUGUGGUAUCAAUUAAUUACGCCUUAUCAAUAUCGUAUCGAAUCUUAUCUUCGAAUUUUCUACACGUUUCUUCUGUCAAAUUGUAUUUCUGGAAUUCCGAGUCAUGACCCAAAUUUCAGCUGGAACGCAUAAAUCAUACUGAGG